CCUACGGGCGGCAGCAGUAGGGAAUCUUUCACAAUGGGCGAAAGCCUGAUGGAGCAACGCCGCGUGCAGGAUGAAGGCCUUCGGGUUGUAAACUGCUUUUAUAAGCGAGAAAUAUGAUGGUAACUUAUGAAUAAGGAUCGGCUAACUACGUGCCAGCAGCCGCGGUCAUACGUAGGAUCCGAGCAUUAUCCGGAGUGACUGGGUGUAAAGAGUUGCGUAGGUGGCAUAAUAAGUAGCUAGUGAAAUCUGGUGGCUCAACCAUUCAGACUAUUAGCUAAACUGUUAAGCUCGAGACCGUUAGGGGUAACUGGAAUGUCUAGUGUAGGAGUGAAAUCCGUAGAUAUUAGAAGGAACACCAAUAGCGUAGGCAGGUUGCUGGGACGGUUCUGACACUAAGGCACGAAAGCGUAGGGAGCAAACGGGAUUAGAUACCCCUGUAGUC
rnacentral:rRNA from 1 species